AAAUGAAUAGACGGGGGCUCACACAAGCGGUGGAGCAUGUGGCUUAAUUCGAAGCAACGCGAAGAACCUUACCUAGGCUUGACAUGCACGGAUAAACUCUAUGAAAGUAGAGGUACACCCGCAAGGGCGGAACGUGCACAGGUGCUGCAUGGCUGUCGUCAGCUCGUGCUGUGAAGUGUCGGGUUAAGUCCCUCAACGAGCGCAACCCCUGUCGCUACUUGCUAACGCGUAAUGGCGAGGACUGUAGCGAGACUGCCGGUGUCAAACCGGAGGAAGGUGGGGAUGACGUCAAGUCCUCAUGGCCUUUAUGUCUAGGGCUGCACACGUGCUACAAUGGUAUGUACAGAACGAUGCAAGACCGCAAGGUGGAGCAAAUCGCCAAAACAUACCCCAGUUCAGAUUGUGGGCUGAAAUUCGCCCGCAUGAAGUCGGAAUCGCUAGUAAUCGCGAAUCAGCUACGUCGCGGUGAAUAUGUUCCUGAGCCUUGUACACACCGCCCGU
rnacentral:rRNA from 1 species